rnacentral:pre_miRNA from 1 species
UCCCAGGGCAACCUCUCUUUAAAUAGGAGUUAAUUACUCUUACAGAAAAAAAAAAAAAAAAAGGAAUCCUAGAUAGUUUUCCCUUCAAGUCAAGCGUCUUGU